GAUGAACGCUGGCGGCGUGCCUAAUACAUGCAAGUCGAGCGAACAGACGAGGAGCUUGCUCCUCUGACGUUAGCGGCGGACGGGUGAGUAAAACGUGGGUAACCUACCUAGAAGACUGGGAUAACUUCGGGAAACCGGAGCUAAUACCGGAUAAUAUAUUGAACCGCAAGGUUCAAUAGUGAAAGGCGGUUUUGCUGUCACUUAUAGAUGGAUCCGCGCCGCAUUAGCUAGUUGGUAAGGUAACGGCUUACAAAGGCGACGAUGCGUAGCCGACCUGAGAGGAUGAUCGGCCACACUGGAACUGAGACACGGUCCAGACUCCUACGGGAGGCAGCAGUAGGGAAUCUUCCGCAAUGGGCGAAAGCCUGACGGAGCCACGCCGCGUGAAUGAUGAAGGCCUUCGGAUCGUAAAACUCUGUUAUUAGGGAAGAACAAAUGUGUAAGUAACCAUGCACGUCUUGACGGUACCUGAUCAGAAAGCCACGGCUAACUACGUG
rnacentral:rRNA from 1 species